ensembl:lncRNA SNAI3-AS1 SNAI3 antisense RNA 1
GUCUGCGCAGGCGCCGUGUGCCCAGGCGCCUGGCGUCCGCGUCGGCGAUCCGGGGUCUGGGCGCGGCGAGGUCUGGUGUGGCAGAUGUGGAUAGCUGGACCCUCCUGGGUGCCUCUGCGUUAUGUCGUUUGGUUGAUGCAUUUGGAGAGAAUCUGUGCUCUCCACAACUGCAGGGGCAACAUGCUUUCCUGGCCUCUUCAGAUCAGGGUGGCUGUUCUUGGGUGCUGCACCAAAACUCCAGCAGUGGGCUUUCUUCAAGGUGAGCUGCAAGAUGGAAUCUGAGGCCCACCCGUCAGUAAGAGUUUCCUCCUGGUAUCCAUGGAAUCUACUGGUCUGUCUCACUUUGGCCUUUGACCCAGGCAGGGGUUCCUAACAUCUACAUCGGUCAUUCGGACAGCCUUGCUUUUGGUUCACUGCCUUACACGGGGCUUCCAGAUGUUGACCUGCUUCAUUUUACAGUAUCAGGAAAUCACUUUCCCCUCAGAAAUGGCCGGCUCACCUCAUUCCUGCCAAGACCCAGGUCCGUGUUCUCACAGUGCUGCCAUCUUUCCUCCGUGUGAGCGUGGGCUGUGCGGAGAGUGGACCUCGGUGUGUGCGGGGCUGCGUGCACUGCCAUCGCUCCCUCUACACGAGCCGGCGUGGACCCAGGGCUGAGCUGUGACCACGAGGGCCAUCCCGACGAGCCGCCAUGGACCCAGGGCUGAGCUGUGACCAUGAGGGCUAUCCCGACGAGCUGCCGUGGACCCAGGGCUGAGCCGUGACCAUGAGGGCCAUCCCGAAACUGUGAUUGUUUUCUGAAUGUGGAAGCGUCGGCCGAGCGCGGUCCUUGGAGAACCCUUGCUGCGGAGAAUGACGCUCACUCUGCGGCCUGGCCUCGCCUCCCCAUCCCUUCUGCAAACUCACAGGACAGGAUUGAUGGGGAGAGCCCAGGCGAAACGAAGCUGACCCUAGUGACCAGCCCUACUGGCGGCUCUGGAACAGGCCCGGGACCGGUGGCCUGGAGACAGUGGUCCUUUCUGGAUGGGCUGCAGUCUCCGAAGGCUUCCCCCACUGGAGUCAGCCCUUUAGGAGUUUGUCCAGUGCCUCCAGAAAGCUGUUUUUUGGGGGACGGAGGACUUGGCCUGGAAUUCUGGAAUUCCCAGGGGGUCAGACAUGGUUAUGGGAAGUUUAAUAAAACCGGUGAAUCACGUGAAUUCUGCAACAGCUGCACGUGUGACCUGGGCAAUCCGUUUCCCUCCUUUGUGGUCCUGUAGAGCCCUCAGGGUCAUAAAAAGCUGGGAGCCGCUG